GACGAACGCUGGCGGCGUGCCUAACACAUGCAAGUCGAGCGAGGAGAGUUCCUUCGGGAACAAACCUAGCGGCGGACGGGUGAGUAACACGUGGGCAACCUGCCUUGUAGAGGGGAAUAGCCUUCCGAAAGGAAGAUUAAUACCGCAUAAUAUUACAGUUUCGCAUGAAAUGGUAAUUAAAGGAGCAAUCCGCUACAAGAUGGGCCCGCGGCGCAUUAGCUAGUUGGUGAGGUAACGGCUCACCAAGGCGACGAUGCGUAGCCGACCUGAGAGGGUGAUCGGCCACAUUGGGACUGAGACACGGCCCAGACUCCUACGGGAGGCAGCAGUGGGGAAUAUUGCACAAUGGGGGAAACCCUGAUGCAGCAACGCCGCGUGAGUGAUGAAGGUUUUCGGAUCGUAAAGCUCUGUCUUCGGGGACGAUAAUGACGGUACCCGAGGAGGAAGCCACGGCUAACUACGUG
rnacentral:rRNA from 1 species